rnacentral:rRNA from 1 species
CCUACGGGAGGCAGCAGUGAGGAAUAUUGGUCAAUGGCCGGAAGGCUGAACCAGCCAAGUCGCGUGAGGGACGACUGCCCUAUGGGUUGUAAACCUCUUUUAUAAGGGAAGAAUAAAUGCUACGUGUAGCAUGAUGCCUGUACCUUAUGAAUAAGCAUCGGCUAACUCCGUGCCAGCCGCCGCGGUAAUACGGAGGAUGCGAGCGUUAUCCGGAUUUAUUGGGUUUAAAGGGUGCGUAGGCGGUUUUUUAAGUUAGUGGUUAAACGUCGGGGCUUCACCUUGAUUUGCCAUUAAUACUGUAAGACUCGAGUUCAGACGAGGUAGGCGGAAUAAGUUAAGUAGCGGUGAAAUGCUUAGAUAUAACUUAGAACUCCGAUAGCGAAGGCAGCUUACCGGACUGCGACUGACGCUGAAGCACGAGAGCGUGGGUAGCGAACAGGAUUAGAUACCCCAGUAGUC